GGAUGUGAGGGCGAUCUGGCUGCGACAUCUCUCACCUUAUUGAUCGCCAGGGUUGACUUGGAUGAUCUGGCUGGCUAGGCGGGGGUCGCCUUCCUCACCACUCCAUGUGCGUCCCUCCCGAAGCUGCGCGCCUGGUGGAGAGGACGACCUUCCUGGGAGAGAAGGACCAAUCUUCCAUCAAGGGUGUAGAGUAGCUGCGCUCCCCUGCCAGGACCUCCUAACAAGCUCUCGACGUGUAGACCCGGAGUUAAACCCCAGUACCGAAAAAGAAAAAAAAGUGACGACAACUCAAAUGUCCACCCAU
rnacentral:snRNA from 1 species